GUACUCUUACCUUCGACAGACGGCGGACAGCAACGGCGGUGUUAGAGGUGCGGACGGCAACGAUGUAGACGGCAACAGCGGUGGCGACGGUGGAGAGGCGCUCGCCAACGGGUUGAGAGGGGGAGGAGAGCUCGGAGAGGGAGAGGGAGAGGGGAGAGGGAGAUCUCGACUGGAGAGAGGAGAGGGGAGAGGGGAGAGCUUAGAGAGGAGAGAGAGGAGA
rnacentral:lncRNA from 1 species